AACAUUGUAAUGCAAUGGACCAUCCACGCGGGUUCUUGCACGCGCAGAUCCAGGGAAACAAGAAUCUCUCGAAAGUGAAAAUAUACUUGACCCUAUGGAUGCUGAACAAACUUGGCCUACAGAAGAGGAAUUAGCCGAAGCUAAAGCUCAAAG
rnacentral:lncRNA from 1 species